AAUGAACGCUGGCGGCAUGCCUAACACAUGCAAGUCGAACGAAGGCUUCGGCCUUAGUGGCGCACGGGUGCGUAACGCGUGGGAAUCUGCCCUCAGGUUCGGAAUAACAGCGAGAAAUUGCUGCUAAUACCGGAUGAUAUCGCGAGAUCAAAGAUUUAUCGCCUGAGGAUGAGCCCGCGUAGGAUUAGCUAGUUGGUGGGGUAAAGGCGCACCAAGGCGACGAUCCUUAGCUGGUCUGAGAGGAUGAUCAGCCACACUGGGACUGAGACACGGCCCAGACUCCUACGGGAGGCAGCAGGGGGGAAAAUUGGACAAUGGGCGAAAGCCUGAUCCAGCAAUGCCGCGUGAGUGAUGAAGGCCUUAGGGUUGUAAAGCUCUUUUACCCGGGAUGAUAAUGACAGUACCGGGAGAAUAAGCUCCGGCUAACUCCGUGCCAGCAGCCGCAGUAA
rnacentral:rRNA from 1 species